rnacentral:rRNA from 1 species
AUACGGAGGAUCCGAGCGUUAUCCGGAUUUAUUGGGUUUAAAGGGAGCGUAGGCGGACUAUUAAGUCAGCUGUGAAAGUUUGCGGCUCAACCGUAAAAUUGCAGUUGAUACUGGUCGUCUUGAGUGCAGUAGAGGUAGGCGGAAUUCGUGGUGUAGCGGUGAAAUGCUUAGAUAUCACGAAGAACUCCGAUCGCGAAGGCAGCUCACCGGGCCGGAACUGACACUGAUGCUCGAAAGUGCGGGUAUCAAACAGGAUUAGAUACCCUGGUAGUCCGCACAGUAAACGAUGAAUACUCGCUGUUUGCGAUACACUGUAAGCGGCCAAGCGAAAGCGUUAAGUAUUCCACCUGGGGAGUACGCCGGCAACGGUGAAACUUAAAGGAAUUGACGGGG